AUCGCUUCUCGGCCGUUUGGCUAAGAUCAAGUGUAGUAUCUGUUCUUAUCAGUUUAAUAUCUGAUAUGUCCUCUAUAUGGGGAUUAAAUAUUAAAUGCAUUUUUGAGCAGUGGGAGGUGAAAACUGGUAAGGCUUGCCUCUUCUUCACUCCUCUUUGCAUUGACCUGGCCAGUUACCCAGGAACGCACCAUUCUUU